UACGUAGGGGCCAAGCGUUGUCCGGAUUUAUUGGGCGUAAAGAGCUCGUAGGCGGUUCGGCAAGUCAGCUGUGAAAUCUCCACGCUCAACGUGGAGGGGUCAGCUGAUACUGCUGUGACUCGAGUCCGGUAGGGGAGUGUGGAAUUCCCGGUGUGAGCGGUGAAAUGCGCAGAUAUCGGGAGGAACACCAGUAGCGAAGGCGGCACUCUGGGCCGGUACUGACGCUGAGGAGCGAAAGCGUGGGGAGCAA
rnacentral:rRNA from 1 species